UACGUAGGUGGCAAGCGUUGUCCGGAAUUACUGGGCGUAAAGGGCGCGUAGGCGGUCAGCACAAGUCAGUUGUGAAAUCUCCGGGCUUAACUCGGAAAGGUCAACUGAUACUGUGCGACUAGAGUGCGGAAGGGGCAACUGGAAUUCUCGGUGUAGCGGUGAAAUGCGUAGAUAUCGAGAGGAACACCUGCGGCGAAGGCGGGUUGCUGGGCCGACACUGACGCUGAUGCGCGAAAGCCAGGGGAGCGAACGGG
rnacentral:rRNA from 1 species